rnacentral:rRNA from 1 species
GAUGAACGCUGGCGGCGUGCCUAAUACAUGCAAGUCGAACGAAACUCCCGUAGCACCGUGUGCUUGCAGUCAGGCGUGGGGGGGUGUGUGGCGAACGUGCGAUUAACACGUGGGCAACCGGUCCAAACGACGGUGAUAACCCUGGGGCACAGGUGCUAAUACCGGAUAACCAUAGUUACCGGAUCGUAACUAUGUAAAACGUGGCUGUACUACCGUUUCUUGCUGGGCCCGCGGCGCAUUAGCUAGUUGGUAGGGUGAAGGGUUACCAAGGCAAUGAUGCGUAGCUGAAUUGAGAGGUGGAUAGGCCAGAUUGCGAGGGAGACACGGCCCAAACUGCGACGGGAGGCAGCAGUAGGGAAGCUUCCACAAUGGGCGAGAGCCUGAUGGAGCAACGCCGCGUGGGUGAAGAAGGUCUUCGGAUCGUAAAACCCUGUUGUUAGGGAAGAAAGUGCGUGAGAGUAACUGCUCACGUUUCGACGGUAUCUAGCGAGAAAGCCACGGCUAACUACGUG